rnacentral:misc_RNA from 1 species
UUUCCGUAGGUGAACCUGCGGAAGGAUCAUUAUCAUGUAAUUCAGUCCCCUUGCCUGUGUUAUAUAUAUACCCACUCUGUGUACCUUCUCCUGUUGCUUCCGCUGGGUGUGUAAUUCGCCCGGCGGAAGGGUAAAAAUAACCUCUGAGUAUUGAUGAAAUCUCUGUCUGAACCGAAUAGAAAGAAAAAUGUUAAAACUUUCAGCAACGGAUCUCUUGGUUCUC